GAUGAACGCUAGCGGCAGGCUUAACACAUGCAAGUCGAGGGGUAUAGUAGCAAUACUAGAGACCGGCGCACGGGUGCGUAACGCGUAUGCAAUCUACCUUUCACAGAGGGAUAGCCCAGAGAAAUUUGGAUUAAUACCUCAUAGUAUAGUAUCUUGGCAUCAAGGAACUAUUAAAGUCACAACGGUGAAAGAUGAGCAUGUGUCCCAUUAGUUAGUUGGUAAGGUAACGGCUUACCAAGACUACGAUGGGUAGGGGUCCUGAGAGGGAGAUCCCCAACACUGGUACUGAGACACGGACCAGACUCCUACGGGAGGCAGCAGUGAGGAAUAUUGGACAAUGGGCGCAAGCCUGAUCCAGCCAUGCCGCGUGCAGGAUGACGGUCCUAUGGAUUGUAAACUGCUUUUGUACAGGAAGAAACACCCCGACGUGUCGGGACUUGACGGUACUGUAAGAAUAAGGAUCGGCUAACUCCGUGCCAGCAGCCGCCGUAA
rnacentral:rRNA from 1 species